UGCCGGUCCAGAGGCAGUGAGUUGUCUCAGGGGUUCCCAGUCAGUUAUAAAUCAAGCGCCUUGCUCUCCUCUUCCUCCCCAUCUCACUACUGCACUUCACUAGUCUACA
ensembl:misc_RNA Y_RNA Y RNA